rnacentral:rRNA from 1 species
AGAGUUUGAUCCUGGCUCAGGAUGAACGCUGGCGGCGCGCCUAACACAUGCAAGUCGAACGGCACCCACCCUCGGGUGGAAGCGAGUGGCGAACGGCUGAGUAACACGUGGAGAACCCGCCCCCUCCUCCGGGAUAGCCUCGGGAAACCGUGGGUAAUACCGGAUGACCCCGCAGGGCCGCAUGGCCCCGCGGGCAAAGCCCAGACGGGAGGGGAUGGCUCCGCGGCCCAUCAGGUAGACGGCGGGGUGACGGCCCACCGUGCCGACGACGGGUAGCCGGGUUGAGAGACCGACCGGCCAGAUUGGGACUGAGACACGGCCCAGACUCCUACGGGAGGCAGCAGUGGGGAAUCUUGCGCAAUGGGGGGAACCCUGACGCAGCGACGCCGCGUGCGGGACGAAGGCCCUCGGGUCGUAAACCGCUUUCAGCAGGGAUGAGACAAGACGGUACCUGCAGAAGAAGCCCCGGCUAACUACGUGCCAGCAGCCGCGGUAAUACGUAGGGGGCGAGCGUUAUCCGGAUUCAUUGGGCGUAAAGCGCGCGUAGGCGGCCCGGCAGGCAGGGGGUCAAAUGGCGGGGCUCAACCCCGUCCCGCCCCCUGAACCGCCGGGCUCGGGUCCGGUAGGGGAGGGUGGAACACCCGGUGUAGCGGUGGAAUGCGCAGAUAUCGGGUGGAACACCGGUGGCGAAGGCGGCCCUCUGGGCCGAGACCGACGCUGAGGCGCGAAAGCUGGGGGAGCGAACAGGAUUAGAUACCCUGGUAGUCCCAGCCGUAAACGAUGGACGCUAGGUGUGGGGGGACGAUCCCUCCGUGCCGCAGCCAACGCAUUAAGCGUCCCGCCUGGGGAGUACGGCCGCAAGGCUAAAACUCAAAGGAAUUGACGGGCACCCGCACAAGCGGUGGAGCAUGCUGUUUAAUUCGAAGAUACGCGAAGAACCUUACCUGGGCUUGACAUCCCGCUGACCGUCUUAGAAAUAAGAUUUUCCCUUCGGGGACAGUGGUGACAGGUGGUGCAUGGUUGUCGUCAGCUCGUGUCGUGAGAUGUUCGGUUAAGUCCGAUAACGAGCGCAACCCCUAUCUUUAAUUGCUAACAUUAAGUUGAGAACCUUAAAGAUACUGCCGGUGACAAACCGGAGGAAAGUGGGGAUGACGUCAAAUCAUCAUGCCCCUUACGUCCAGGGCUACAGGCGUGCUACAAUGGCUGGUAUAAUAAGACGCAAAGCCGCGAGGCAGAGCAAAUCUCCAAAGCCAGUCCCAGUCCAGAUUGGAGUCUGCAACUCGACUCCAUGAGGUUGGAAUCGCUAGUAAUCCCGAAUCAGAAUGUCGGGGUGAAUACGUUCCCGGGUGUUGUACUCACCGCCCGUCA